rnacentral:snRNA from 1 species
AUCGCUUCUCGGCCUUUUGGCUAAGAUCAAGUGUAGUAUCUGUUCUUAUCAGUUUAAUAUCUGAUCCGUCCUCUAUCCAAGGACAGUAUAUCCGAGGAACAGGGAGAUGGAACAGGAGUUGCUCCGUCCACUCCACCCAUCGCCCUGGUAUUGCAGUGCUUCCAGGAUGAGUGCAUCCUCU